GGGAUCUCAGGAGGUCAUCUAGUCCAACCCCCUGCUCAAAGCAGGACCAAGCCCCAAUUUUUGCCCCAGAUCCCUAAAUGGGCCCCCAAGGAUUGAACUCACAACCCUGGGUUUAGCUGGCCAGUGCUCAAACUGCUGAGCUAUCCCUGGACACAUAAGCUUGAAUG